rnacentral:rRNA from 1 species
UACGAAGGGGGCUAGCGUUGCUCGGAAUCACUGGGCGUAAAGGGUGCGUAGGCGGGUCUUUAAGUCAGGGGUGAAAUCCUGGAGCUCAACUCCAGAACUGCCUUUGAUACUGAAGAUCUUGAGUUCGGGAGAGGUGAGUGGAACUGCGAGUGUAGGAGGUAGAAUUCGAUAGAUAUUCGCAAGAACACCAGUGGCGAAGGCGGAUCUCUGGGCCAUUACUGACGCUGAGGAGCGAAAAGCGUGGGUAGCAAACAGG